rnacentral:misc_RNA from 1 species
GAUGAAGAACGCAGUGAAAUGCGAUAAGUAAUGUGAAUUGCAGAAUUCAGUGAAUCAUCGAAUCUUUGAACGCACAUUGCGCCCUGUGGUAUUCCGCAGGGCAUGCCUGUUCGAGCGUCAUUUCAACCCUCAAGCUCUGCUUGGUGUUGGGCCCUGCCCGCUGCGGCCGGCCCUAAAGACAGUGGCGGUGCCGCCUGGCCCUGAGCGUAGUACAUCUCUCGCUCCAGUGCCCGGUGGUAGCCUGCCAGAACCCCAACUCUCGUGGUUGACCUCGGAUCAGGUAGGGAUACCCGCUGAACUUAAGCAUAUCAAUAAGCGGAGGA